UGCGAAGGGGGCUAGCGUUGUUCGGAAUUACUGGGCGUAAAGCGCGCGCAGGCGGUCUUCCAAGUCAGUGGUGAAAGCCCGGAGCUCAACUCCGGAACUGCCAUUGAAACUGUUGGACUUGAGUACGAGAGAGGUGAGUGGAAUUCCCAGUGUAGAGGUGAAAUUCGUAGAUAUUGGGAAGAACACCGGUGGCGAAGGCGGCUCACUGGCUCGUAACUGACGCUCAGGCGCGACAGCGUGGGGAUCAAACAGG
rnacentral:rRNA from 1 species